rnacentral:rRNA from 1 species
UACAGAGGGGGCAAGCGUUAUUCGGAAUUAUUGGGCGUAAAGGGCGCGUAGGUGGCUUGGCAAGUGGAAGGUGAAAUCCCUCGGCUCAACUGAGGAACUGCCUUCCAGACUGCUUUGCUUGAGGCCGGGAGAGGCGAGUGGAAUUCCCAGUGUAGCGGUGAAAUGCGUAGAUAUUGGGAGGAACACCAGUGGCGAAGGCGGCAUCCUGGACCAACACUGACGCUGAGUGAGCGAAAGCCAGGGGAGCAAACGGG